CACGUAGGAGGCGAGCGUUGUCCGGAAUCAUUGGGCGUAAAGAGCGCGCAGGCGGCUUGGCAAGUCGGGUGUGAAAUCCCGGGGCUCAACCCCGUGACUGCAUCCGAUACUGUCAGGCUAGAGGUAGGUAGGGGAGAUCGGAAUUCCUGGUGUAGCGGUGAAAUGCGCAGAUAUCGGGAAGAACACCCGUGGCGAAGGCGGUUCUCUGGGACGGUACUGACGCUGAGACGCGAAAGCGUGGGGAGCGAACAGG
rnacentral:rRNA from 1 species